GGUAAGUUCUCACUUCCGGCCGGAAGUUGUUGGCGGAGCUACUUCCGCCCAGGGGAAUGGGGAGCAACUGGAGACGCGUGCUUUGUCCUGUUGGCGGGGAAACCCACUCUCGCCUCCUGGUGGUCGCCGACUCGCGGACCACUGGAUGACGCAGGGCACCCCGACCACAGUUCCGCCGCCACCGGCCCUAGCCUGCGGAGUUGGGCCCGCCCCGGGACUGUAACGGAGCUCUGACAGGGACUGGAGGCACUGACCGGGCGACCAGAGUCCCCCCCAGUCUGUUCCCGGAACUUCACGGACGGCUCGUCCCAUCGCAACUGGAGCUUGGACGGGAGGAGACAGAAGGGAACUUGGCCCGCACACAGCCACCGAAAUUGGAGUUUCAACAGAAACUGAGAAAUAUACACCGAUUUGUUGGCUGAGGCCGUAGCAACCACUGUUUUCUUCCUGCUCAUCGUUGAUUAGAGCAUUCGAAGCAACCUCAGCCAGGGAUCCAGGUCGGUUUCCUGGAAGAGUUGCAUGUGUACUGGGUAAAAAUCUGGUUUUGGCUCUGCUGGGUCUGUGUGCCUGGAAAGGAAUUGUUUCAGCCUAGGAUCGUCCAGCCCUCAUCUUGUCCAGCUGUGUUCCCGGAGGAUGUGGCCCAGCUAGUGUCUGCCCAAAGCCAAGAAUGUGAUUUCAGUACUGUGAGCUAAGCUGCGGCGGGUUUGCGAUCAUUCACUAAUCAUGUAGAAGAACUGCAGCGGCAAAAGGGAGGCCUGGCCCCAUGGGGAAGUUUUGGGAGCAGCAGCCAGGACUUUCUGACACCAAAAAGUUAUGCAGAAGAUUCAUCUGCGGGGUUGGGCUCUUAGGAGUCUAUCCAGGUGCCCCAGUGGAAUCAGCCCGGGUGUAUCCAUUCCUGAUAAGAUAAGUGCUUUCCUGGAAAGCAUUUAGCAAGUCCUGAACCAAGCACAGGCACCGAAUGUGGAGAUCAAUUAUGCAGCUACAGCCAAAAACAAGUUCUCUUUAUUGCAAUGGUAAUGAAAGUAGCUCCAUUUAAUGAAGACAUAGAUGAAAAGGAGAGAGGAAGAGAGAGAUUGAGAAAGUCCAAGAAAACAGGAAGAGAAAUGAGACACAGAGGAGGCCACAGACCAUGUCAGAAGAUCCCGCCCGCAGCAGCAGUAACAGGAUAUUGGAACAAACUUGGAAUUUCAUGAACUUUUCCACAACCCUCUUCCAUGUCUGCAAGGAGCUACCUGACAGGAUUGUCAGGGGUCACUGGGGCUGCAGAAGUCCCAUCUCAUCCAUUGCUGCAGAGUAAAUGCAACAGAAAGCCGGGCAUGUUGGCUCAGGCCUGUAAUCUCAACACUUUGGGAGGAUCACGAGGCGGGAGGAUCACGUGAGGUCAGGAAUUUGAGACCAGCCUGGCCAACAUGGUGAAACCCCGUCUCUACUAAAAAUACAAAAAUUAGCCAGGCAUGGUGACACAUGCCUGUGAUCACGCCACUGCACUCCAGCCUGGGUGACAGAGCAAGACUGUCUCAAAAAAACAGAACAAAACAAAACAAAACAAUGCAACUGAGGUAAGCUCUACACAGAGGCACCUUUGGGGGGCACAUAGAAACCCAAUCAACAUCUUUCCAAGAGAUUGGUAUUUUAAAAAGAGAACAAUAAGCUAUUUUCUCACAGGCCAAAUGAGUGUUUGACAGCCUAAUCAAUGUGCCCUAAAGCUUUAAGACAGGGCUGAGGAAUUAUUAUGUAACUUCACAGAUCAACCCUUAGAUGAGAAUUUUCCCCAUGGAGUUGGUCUGUCACCAACGAAUUGCUCAAGAAAAUCCAGCACUACUAACCCUGGCCAUCUCCUGCAGGAAGAAACAUUUGGUGCAGCAGAGGGAUAAGAAAUUCUUUCAUGACCAGGCACGGAGACUAACGCCUGAAAUCCCAGCACUUUGGGAAGCUUGGAUCACCUGAGGUCAGGAGUUCAAGACCAGCCUGGCAAACCUGGUGAAACUCUGUCUCUAUAAAAAUACAGAAAUUAUCUAGGCCUGAUGGUGGGCGCCUGUAAUCCCAGCUACUCAGAAGGCUGAGGCCAGAGAAUCACUUGAACCCAGGAGGUGGAGCUUGCAGUGAGCUGAGAUUGCAUCAUUGCACUCCAGCCUGGACAACUAAGCAAGAGUCCAUCAAAGGAGAGGACAGGAGAGGAGAGGAGAAAGGAAAGGAAGAAGUCUUUCAUGGCCUGGCACAGUGGCUCAUGCCUGUAAUCCCAGAACUUUGGGAGGCCAAGGCAGGCAGAUCACCUGAGGUUGGGAGUUCAAGACCAGCCAGCCUGACCAACAUGGAAAAACCCCGUCUGUACUAAAAAUACAAAAUUAGCUGGGCAUGGUGGCAGCUACUCUGGAGGCUGAGCCAGGAGAAUCGCUUGAAUCUGUCCCGGACCAACUAAACUGUGUGUCACCCUAAUUAUAAAGCAUGGAAAAGGGAACAAAGAUGACUCAUUAAUGAGGCCUCCUGUCUCCACCCAGUGGAGGACUGUCCCCGAGCCUCAUACAUUCCAAGGGCAAUGGACAUACUUCUGCUAUGUAAUAUUAUUCCAGAUGCCUCCACGUCCAAUGUACAGAGCACUCCAGCUGCUGGUCCAGGAGUGCCCUUAAUAUAAGGAAAGCCUUGGCCCCAGCCAGAGAAGGUCACGCUUUCCUAAGUCAAGGUUAUAAUUAUGCAUUUUGAAAGCCUCCUUCCUGUAAUUGUUCUGAUGUUCGUGGCAGGCACGCAUGCGGGCGGUGCACUUGGAAGCUGCUGUCUGUCAUCACCUCUGUACCGCGUUCCUCUCGGAUUAUGCAGGGAGCUCAGGCUUUGACUGGCAAAGUGAUCCCAAGAGGCUCAGCAUGGGAAAGAAAUAGCUAGUACUUUCCAGAAACCAUCCCACCUUCUUCAACAGGAUGAAGGAAGCCCUGGCUUUGCUGACUUCCCAAGCAGGGUCUCAAAAGCUCACUUAACAUCUGGGAAAACAAACCUCUGCACACACUGAUGAAGGAAGAAAAAUACAGCCUGUCCAGGCCGGGCGCAGUGGCUCAUGCCUGUAAUCCCAAUACUUUGGGAGGCUAAGACGGUUGGAUUGCCUCAGCUCAGGAGCUCAAGACCAGCCUGGGCAACAUGGCAAAACCCUGUCUCUGCUAAAAAAAAAAAAAAAUUAGCUAGGCAUGGUGGCAUGCGCCUGUCCUACUCAGGAGGCUGAGGCAUAAGAAUUGCUUGAACCCCAGGGCAGAGGUUGCAGUGGGCGGAGAUUGCACCACUGCACUCCCGCUUGGGCAACAGAGUGAGACUCCGUCCCAGAAAAGAAAAAAAAUAUACAGUCUGGACAAUCGUUAGGCCACCUGUCCUUAGGGAUUAAGGACGAAUUCCAAAUUCUGUUCUACCCUGGAAGGAAUACAUUUCAGGAGUUGGAAGGAUGCCUUUCAAAUCACACCUGGUCUUAUUGGUGUGAAAUUAAACAAGGUUAGGUGGAAGAACACCACCAAGGAGCUGGUAUCCCUGUGAAAGAGAAGACCUGGCUGUUGUCAAGGAGCUAAUAAGCUCUCUGGCAGGAUGAGAAGCAAUAUUUAUCUUACCCACCUACAGAAUAAAAGAGUAUGUAUUUGAUGAAAUAAUUUAUGCUGAGUGAAUGGGAAAUAUCUCUAAUUGCAGGCAAUUAAUGUUUUCACUGAUAAGGAGAGGGCACCAGGCUGGCUUGUCUCAAAUGGCCCUUACUCUCCAGCAGUUCAUACUUCCAUUGUGUACAUAAUCCCUGGAUUACAUAAACCCACCUGCUUACACCUACCAGCUCCACCCACCCUUGCCAAAGCUGUCACUAUGAGAAGAAUUAGAGCCUUUGCAAAUACAUUCUGAUCCAGUGCCAGAGAAAAGGCAGCAGCUUGGAACAUCAGGAGCAACUUCAGGAAUCUGACCUUCGGGACAUUUCCCAGGCUACCCUGACCCUCAUUCUGGAUUUGCCCCGACUAAAAAUACUUUCCUUGAUUGCCCUGAAAACAUUUUCAGCUCAUUUCUUACACUGCUUCAGAUGUCAUUGUUUGGAGAUUAGACUGACAAGCAUCUUCUUAAAAAUGUGAAUCAUGGGCCGGGCGCAGUGGCUCAAGCCUGUAAUCCCAGAACUUUGGGAGGCCGAGGUGGGUGGAUCAUGAAGUCAAGAGAUCAAGACCAUCCUGGUCAACAUGGUGAAACCCCAUCUCUACUAAAAAUACAAAAAAUUAGCUGGGCAUGGUGGCGUGUGCCUGUAAUCCCAGCUACUCAGGAGGCUGAGGCAGGAGAAUUGCCUGAACCCAGGAGGCAGAGGUUGCCGUGAGCCGAGAUCGCGCCAUUGCACUCCAGCCUGGGUAACAAGAGCGAAACUCCAUCUUAAAAAAACAAAAGUGAAUCAUGGCCAGGCGUGGUGGUACACGCUUGUAAUCCCAGCAUUUUGGGAGGACAAGGUGGACAGAUCACUUGAGCUCAGGAGUUAAAGACCAGCCUGAGCAACAUAGUGAGACCACAUCACUCUCUCUCUUUUUUUUUUGACAGGGAAUCUCACUUUGUUGCAGUGGUGCAAUCUCAGCUCACUGUAACUUCCGCCUCCCAGGUUCAAGCGAUUCUCCUGCCUCAGCCUCCUGAGUAGCUGGGAUUACAGGGGCCUACCACCACGCCUGGCUAACUUUUGUAUUUCUAGUAGAGAUGGGGUUUCACCAUGUUGUCCAGGCUGGUCUCAAACUCCUGACCUCAGGUGAUCCACCUGUCUCGGCCUCCCAAAGUGCUGAGAUGACAGGCGUGAGCCACCAUGCCGGGCCCCUUCUCUCCAUAUUCUGAGUGUAAGCAUCACCUUUCCAACACAGAAAUAUCAGCCUUGCUGGGGCUCCGAUAUGUAACUGAGAUUCAGCUAAUUGCUCGUCCUUGCCGGAGACUUGGACUCAGAACUGAGGUGAGAGAGAGGCAGGGAACAGAGCAUCGUUUUGUUGUUGUGGGUUGUGGCAGACGGAGCUUGGCUCUGGAGGCAGGAACCAAGGCCGCAGCAUCCUGACUUGGCAGCUGCCUCACCCAGGUGAGGUGGCAGCUCCGUUGGUGAGCCAGUUCUUCAGUGCGAUCCUGAGAGCUGGUUGUUCCUGGAAGCCUGCCUAGUGCCUGUAUCUCUGGCCCUCCUGCCAGUUACUUGAUCUCUCUCUAACGCUUCCUAAAGCCCUUCUGGCUUGAAUUGGUUAGGCUGGAUCCUGCUGUCUGCAGCUAAGAACCCCCUGGCUAUUGCAGACAGAGCAGGGACAACAGGGGACCAAAGAGCUGUGGAGAGGUCGUAGGAGAGGCAGAAAAAGAUUCAGGAAGUUGGCAAAUAUUUUGAAUAAUGGCCACUAUUUAUUGAGGCCAUACCAUGUACACUAUCCUUUUUUUUUUUUUGGAGACAGAGUCUCACUCUGUCACCCAGGCUGGAGUGCAGUGGCACAAUUCGGCUCACCACAACCUCCACCUCCCAGGUUCAAGCACUUCUCCUGCCUCAGCCUCCUGAGUAGCUGGGAUUACAGGUGUGCACCGCCACACCCAGCUAAAUUUUGUAUUUUUAGUAGAGACAGGGCUUCAUCAUGUUGGCCAGGCUGGUCUUGAACUCCUGACCUCAGGUGGUUUACCAACCUCAGCCUCCCGAAGUGCUGGGAUUACAGGCAUGAGCCACGGUGCCCAGCCCAUGUGCACUGUCUUUCACCUUUACUACUCUGUUAGGCAUUAUUCUCAUUUUACAGAUGAGGAAACGGUCUGAGAGUGGUUAAGGGGCCUGCCCAAUGCCACACAGCCUUAAACGGUGAAUUGGGAACUCGAACUCAGAUCCUUUGUGCUCAAAGCCUAGGCUCUCCCUGCUUUGUUACUUUGCCCAGGCCAACAUUGCCUGCAGAAAAGAGCAGACCCUCCUUUCCCCGUCCUUUCUGCUCCUCUUGUCUUCCAGCUCUCAGAGCCUGGACAUUCAGCUAAGCCUGAGGAACACCACCGUUUACUCAUCUGAAUUUAAAAGGCUGUGUAAACGUGCAUUAGUCAGCAGCAGCCCACACAUUGGAAAACACUGAUACACUGGGGCAAACAUUCCCAGAAUAGAAGACAGGUCGCUGAGUCCACCACUCAGGGGAUGGGAUUCUGGGAGCUAUUUGCUUUCUGCCUUCAAUAGUUGUGAUAUCUGAUUUUUUUACACACAGUAGGUGGAUUGCUUCUGUUGUCACAUUAUAUGUUGCAAUUAGUGCCACCAAAUCAGUUGUUUAAGAGAGAUGGGCAGGCAAGAAAACAUAAAUUGUGAUUAUUAUUGGAUAGUGUGAUUAUUGGUGAUUUUUAUUUUCUUCUCUCUUCCUUUUUUUUUUGAGGCAGAGUCUCACUCUGUCACCCAGGCUCAGUGCAGUGACACAGUCUCGGCUCACUGCAGCCUCUACCUCCUGUGUUCAAGUGAUCCUCCUCCCUCAGCCUCCUGAGUAGCUAGGACUACAAGUGUGCACCACCACAUCCAGCUAAUUUUUUAUUUUUUGUAGAAACGAGCUCUCACUAUGUUGCCCAGGCUGGUCUUGAACUCUUGGGUAACAUAGGAGCAGUCCUCCUGCCUUUGUCUCCCAAAGUGUUGGGAUUACAGGCAUGAGCCACCAUGCCAACCCUAUUUUCUUCCUUAUGCAUUUCUUUAUUAGACGUAUUUCUAAAAUGAGCAUGUGCUCUUGUUGCUUGUAGCUACCACAAACAGAUAACCCUGACUCACCCUAAGUACACAUGACUGAAGGCUAGCAGAAGGAGGGCCUGGGCCCGGCCAGAGCAGCAACACCACCCAAGGCCCUCUUUGGUCUUCCCACCUCUGCGCUCUGCCGUCCCCGCAUCUCCUCCAUCACAGGUGGCCUCUUCUCAUGGGCACAGCAUGGCUGCAGCAGCCCAGAAAUCACACAGCAUCCAGACACAGAAACAGGGGCUUUCUUUUUUGGUGUUACCUUUUUAAGAUUGUGGGAACCCUUCCAGAACCCCUUGAACUGGGUCCCAGGCCACUUUUUUUUUUUUUAAGAUGGAGUGUCACUGUGUUGCCCAGGCUGGAGUGCAGUGGUGAGAUCUUGGCUCACUGCAACCUCUGUCUUCUGGGUUCAAGUGAUGCUCCCAUGUCAGCCUCCUGUGUAGCUGGGACCACAGGCACACACCACCACAUCUGGCUAUUUUCUUUGUAUUUUUCUGUAGACACAGAGGUCUUACCAUGUAGCCCAGGUCUUAAACUCCUUGGCUCAAGCUGUCCGCCCACCUUGGCCUCCCAAAGUGUUGGGAUUACAGGUGUGAGCCACCACACCCAGCCACCCAGGCCCACUCUGAAGUCAGUUCCUGGCAGGGGGAUGCGUCAGAAUCAGGUCCACUUGCUGGCUUGGCAGGGGCUGGCCUCCCCGGCACGUGGAGUGGGGUGGAUGCCUGAAUAAAGUCAGGGCCUUGGGAAGGAAGAUGUGGCGAGACAGAUGCCAUGUAGACAAUCUGUGUGUCCUCUAUGGCAUAUUAUUUUAUAAUUUUAAAAUUUUCAUUGAUAUAAAAACAUUUAAAUAUUAUCCUUGCUGUGUUUCGAAGCCCCACUGAGGAUUUUGACAAGAGCCACGUGGGUGGGUUCCUCUAUGAAAUCUUCUGUUCCUUGUGGAAAAUAAUCAUAGCCUACACACAAACAAAAACCAUGUCUUGGCCAGGGGUGGUGGCUCACACCUAUAAUCCUAACAGUUUGGGAGGCUCAAGGAUCACUUGAGCGCAGGAGUUGGAGACCAGCCUUGGCAACAUGGCAAGACACUGUCUCUACAAAAAAUAUGAAAACUAGCCAGGCAUGGUGGCUUGCACCUAUAGUCUCAGCCACUUGUGGAACUGAGUGGGGUGGAUCAUUUGCGCCCAGGAGGUCGAGUCUGCAGUGAGCUGUGAUCAUGCCACUGCGUUCCAGCCUGGGUGACAAAGUGAGACCUUGUCUCAAAAAAAAAAAAAAAAAAUCGGAAACCACAUCUUGUUUCUGCUUCAGGAUAUUGUUCUCUGGGAAUGUCAGAAACCAAACAGGCCCCACCUGGUAGUCACGAGGCCCACAUUUCCUUAGCUGUGCGUCACUGGGUCACGGGAGGCAAACUGCUGAACUGGGGCCCCUGUCUUGGUCAAUAAUGUCCCUUUCUUCAGCUGUAGUGGCUCAAAAUUAAGUUUUGUCCUUUGCCGAGAAAAGCAUUAAGGUUUUAUCAGACAUUAUUUGAUGUCGACUUAAAUAUUUAAGGGGUUGGCCAAGACAAAUGAAGUGAUCUUAAAGGUGACUCACAUUCCAGCAUUGCAAAUUUGGAGGCUGGAGUGAGUGAGGCUGUUGGAGGCAGCUCAGGUUUACUGAGUUCAUGCAUUUCCUCAGUGCUCCUUUCAGCAGGUUGGAACUGGCUGCAGGAGAAACCACUGAUCCCUUUCAGCAUGUUGUACAGUCGCCUAACUGUUUAAAGCAAGUGACGCAGAAAUUAAGGUGGGGCAUCUGAUGUCUUCCAUCAGAGAAUAAGCUUUACUUUAUAUGGAGAUCCGAAUUGACCUAGCAGCUUGGCUGCUGAACAUAAGAAUAAGUGGAUUUAUUGUUAUUAUUAUUUUUUUUUUUUGAGACCGAGUCUCGCUCUGUCCCCCAGGCUGGUGUGCAGUGGCGUGAUCUCUGCUCACUGCAACCUCCGCCUCCCGUGUUCAAGUGAUUCUCCUGCCUCAGCCUCCCGAGCAGCUGAGACUACAGGCACACACCACCAUGUCUGGCUUAUUUUUUGUAUUUUUCGUAGAGACUGAGUUUCACCAUGUUGGCCAGGCUGGUCUCGAACUCCUGAUCUCAAAUGAUCCAUUGGCCUCCCAAAGUGCUGGGAUUACAGGUAUGAGCCACUGCACCCAGAGAGGAUAAGUAGAUUUAAAGACAGAAAAGAAAAAUAAAAAACUCUUCCUAUUAUUUUCACCAAUGAAGGGCACCUUUCAAUUCAUUCAGCAUUCUGAAAUUUUAACGUAAUCCUUAGAUUCCAAAGUUGCAGGGUCUUUUCUUCCUUACCCCAAUUAUGUCAUGCACAAGGCACUCAGGAGCUAUGCCAUACAUCUUAGAACAAUAAACGGGUAGAAGAAUACAUGGAACACUAAGAAUCAUACAGGUUAUUGCCACUUGCUAUUUAAAGAAUGCAUGAAUCAAGCCAAUUGAACUGCUACACAGGGACCAUAUGGAAAUAUUUUAGAGCCAAAUAUGUCUGUGGUUUGCCUGCUUGGCAGGGUAUCCCAGGACACACAGCACCUAACUCUGUCCGGCAUUCACUCAGGCCUUCCUGUGUUGGAGGCCUCAGUCACCCCACCCACCUUAUGCGCUUGCCAGCAAUGGGCUUUUCACCAUGACACCAGGAUGUACUAAUCUUGAAACUGAUGACCCGGAAGGAAGAACAACAAGCCAAAAACUGAAGAACUGAGUUCAACAGAAGGAACAGAGCUGGGUGUGCCGGCUCACGCCUGUAAUCCCAGCACUUUGGGAGGCCCAGGCAGGCAAAUCACCAGAGGUUAGGAGCUUGAGACUAGCCUGGCCAACAUGGUGAAACCCCAUCUACAAAAAUACAGAAAUUAGCCAGGCAUGGUGGCAUGUGCAUGUAAUCCCAGCUACUUGAGAGGCUGAGGCAGGAGAAACACUUAAACCUGGGAGUUGGAGAUUGUGAUGAGUUGAGAUUGUGCUGUUACACUCCAGCCUGGGUGACAGAGCGAGAUUCUAUUUUUUUUUUUAAAAAAAGAAGGAAUGGGAAUUUGAUAGGAAGAGCUCCGUGGACACUGGGGUCAGCAUGUUGGAUUUGGAUUCUCUACUCUGAAAGUCACUUACCCUCUCUUUACUUUGGUGUCCCCAUGGGCAAAAUGGGCUGCGACGAAGAUCAUGGUGAUGUUUGUUAAAUGCCUAGCACAGGGCCUGGGCCCAAUGCAAUCGGUAGAAAAUAGAGAGAACUAUGUUCGUUCUUCAAGGAAACUGAAACUGAAUUAAAUAGGCCCUGAAUUGAGACAUCCUGUGGGGAGACAGGAACUGUGAGCUGGCUCCUAAUUCUGAAUGAUGUGUGGGGUUAAACACCCAGACGUCCUUGUGCGUCAUCUCCCUGGGUGUGGAAUAAGCUCAGGCUGUCGGCAUCAUAGCAGUUCCUUGCAUACUCCUGGAAUUGCUCAGAGGCUGGUUCCCAAGAAGCCCUCUGUGUGCCUGAGUGUGCCACGUGAGCCAGGUCAAGCUCUUCUCCAGGUGCACAGGGACCUCGGAACAAGCCAGCCCUGCCAAGGACAGCAACAUCCUUUGUUCUCUGGUUUCCCAAAGCUCAGAGUCUACCACGUGAUGAGCAGGCCAGCCUUGCCCUUCCCUUAGUGUCACCUGCUUUGCAGGCAAUAGCAGUGGGUGAGUCAGGCAGGGGUGGGCACCCUCGGGGUCCAGGAGGCUGACCCUGUGGGGUGCAGGUGCCUUUUUAACUGCUCUGCGCUUGACAAGGCUGAUACCACUGGCAGGAGAGUGAACAGGGGUGCUUCCCUUCCUCCGACAGGGGUUUCUUUUCUUUCCUUUUUUUCUCUUCAUUUCUUCUCCUUCAAAAACAAAUGAGAUAUAUGUGCAGAAUGUGCAGGUUCGUUACAUAGGUAUAUUUGCGUCAUGGUGGUUUGCUGGCACCUAUUGACCUAUCCUCUAAGUUCCCUCCCCUCGCCCCCCACCACCAAUAGGCCCUGGUGUGUGAUGUCCCUCCCCUCACCGCCCCACCACCAACAGGCCCUGGUGUGUGAUGUUCCCCUCCCUGUGUCCACAUGUUCUCAUUGUUCAACUCCCACAUGUGAGUGAGAACAUGUGGUGAUUGGUUUUCUGUUCCUGUGUUGGUAUACUGAGGAUGAUGGCUUCUAGCUUCAUCCAUGUCCCUGCAAAGGACAUGAACUCCUUCCUUUUUAUGGUUGCAAGGGGUUUGUUUUCCUUUUUCUUUUUUUUAAAAUGAAGUCUCACUCUGUCACCCAGGCUGGAGUGCAGUGGCGCAAUCUCGGUUCACUGCAACCUCUUCCUCCCAGGUCCAAGUGAUUCUCCUGCCUCAGCCUCCCAAGUAGCUGGGAUUACAGGCAUCUGCCACCAUACCUGGCUAAUUUUUGUAUUUUUAGUAGAAAUGGGGUUUCACCAUGUGGACUGGGCUGGUCUCUAACUCCCAACCUUAGGUAAUCUGCCUGCCUCUGCCUCUCAGAGUGCUGGGAUUAUAGGAGUGAGCCACCCCACUCAGCCAAGGAGUUUGUUUUCUAACCAGCUGUAGAGGGUUGAAUGUAGCUCCCCAAAGAUGUGUCCAAGUCCUAACUUCUGGUACUUGGAAAUGCAAUUUCAUUUGUAAAAUUGUGUUUUUAGCCGGGCGUGGCGGCUCACGCCUGUAAUCCCAGCAUUUUGGGAGGCUGAGGUGGACGGAUCACAAGGUAAAGAGAUCCAGAGCAUCCUGGCCAACAUGGUGAAACCCCGUCUCUACUAUAAAUACAAAAAUUAACUGGGCAUGGUGGUGCACACCUGUAGUCCCAGCUACCCGGGAGACUGAGGCAGGAGAAUCACUUGAACCCAGGAGGCAGAGGUUGCAGUGAGUCGAGAUUUCGCCACUGCACUCCAGCCUGGGCAACAGAGCAAGACUGUCUCAAAAAACAAAAAAUUGUGUUUUAACAGAUGUCAUUAAGCUAAGGAAACUGAGAGAGCUCAUCGUGGGUUUAUGAUGAACUGGAAAUCCACGGUGAUCUCAUUCUAGUGGCCUCAUAAGAGAAAGGAGAGAGAUUUAACACAUGGAGAUGCACAGGGGAGAAGGUGGAAGUGGAGAUUGGCGGGAAGUGGCCACAAGCCAAAGGAAGACCUAGGGCAACCAGCAGCCAGAAGAAGCCAGAAAGGACCUUCCCAGAGCUGCAGAAAGGAGCGUGGCUCUGCCAACACCUUGAUUUCCCCUCCAGAGCACAUGGCUUCCAGAACAGUGAGAAAAUGAAUUUCUGUUGCCCUCAGCCACCCAGUUCAUGGAAAUUUCUUGCAACAGUGCGUCAACCGUGGGUGCGUCCUGAGCCUUGUAUGGUGAAAAGUUCAGCGUUGUACCGUUUACUUCUAGGGGUAUGGAGGAAGGUCACCCAGGCUCUUUGUUUUGCGUCAGUGUGGUUGUGCCUUCUGAGGUGCACUGGAGCUACCCGCUAAUGUCCUGUAGGCAGCUGGGGUCACAUCUUAGCACAAGCACAGAGCCUGCCAGAGGCCACAGGGGUGGGUGGGGGUGCAGAGCCGGCAGGCACAGUGCCCUUUAAGACAAGUCAUGCAUUCACACUUGAGUAUUUUAUUUUAUUUUUAUUAUGUUUUCUUCUGAGACAGAGUCUUGUUCUGUUGCCCAGGUUAGAAUGUGGGAGCGUGAUCUUGGCUCACUACAACAUUCACCUCGCAGGUUCAAGUGAUUCUCCUGCCUCAGCCUCCUGAGUAGCUGGGGCUACAGGUGUGUGCCACCAGGCUCUGCUAAUUUUGUAUUUUUAUUUUUUAUUUUCUUGUCUAUUUUAUUUUAUUUUUUUGAGAUGAAGUCUUGCUCUGUCACCAGGCUGGAGUGCAGUGGCAUGAUCUCAGCUCACUGCAACCUCCGCCUUCCAGGUUCAAGCCAUUCUCCUGCUUCAGCCUCCCAAGUAGCUGGAACUACAGGCAUGUGCCACCAUGCCCAGCUAAUGUUGGCUGUUCUCAAACGCCUGACCUCAUGAUCCACCCAUCUCGGCCUCCUGAAGUGCUGAGAUUACACGCGUUAGCCACCGCACCCGGCCUCAUUUUAUUUUAUUUUUUUAAGAUGGAGUUUCGCUCUUGCAGUGCGGUGGCUCCAUCUCGGUUCACUGCAAUGUCUGCCUCCUGGAUUCAAGCAAUUCUCCUGCCCCAGCCUCCCGAGUAGCUGGGAUUACAGACGGAGUUUCAUUCUUGUUGCUCAUGCUGGAGGGCAAUGGCUAUCUCGGCUCACCACAACCACCACCUCCCGGAUUCAAGCGAUUCUCCUGCCUCAGCCUUCUGAGUAGCUGGGAUUACAGGCAUGUGCCACAAUGUAUUUUUAGUAGAGACGGGGUUUCUCCAUGUUGGUCAGGCUGGUCUCGAGCUCCCGACCUCAGGUGAGCCUCCCAAAGCUCUGGGAUUACAGGUGUUAGCCACCCAGCCCAGCCCUCACUGUUUAUUCUUCACUCAGUUCCUCCUUGUUAAGUGGCUCUGGUCUAUCCCCAUUAGCACUACAUUUCUUCCUGGGGGUCAAUUAAAGGCAGCAAGCCCCGCCUCCCCUCCAGCUGUGUGACCCACACGCAGCUGCGCAGCCGGGGGACUCAUUGCUGGACUUGCAAACCUAAGUCCUGAUCCGGCAAAGGAAAGGAAGUGCCAUGCAGCUGCGUCCACGUCGGUGAAGCAAGGACUGUAUUUUGUGAAACAAGCCAGAAGUAUGAUUGGGUUGGCUAUUUUUAUUUCUCUGAGUGGGAAGCUGAAAGGCUUGGGGCGCUCCUUUGUCACCCUAAAUCUCAUCAGAUGCAGGCUACGCUUCCUGCUGCAGAACUUGGUGCCUAAGCUGGCUGCUUCCCUGGACUUGACGUGCUUGCCUGGUAACACAGGGGCAGUGCUAUCUAAAGGUGCCGGUGGGGGGUGGAGGGGUGGUGAGAGCAUCAUCCCGAGGAUGCUUUAGUUCUGUCCAUGGGAUGGGGGAUAUGUUUUUUACUUGACUAAUUAAUUAGUUUUUAUUUUUAUUUGUUUAUUUAUUUUCGAGACAGAGUUUUUCUCUGUCACCCAGGCUGGAGUGCAGUGGCAUGAUCUCGGCUCACUGCAACCUCCACCUACCAGGUUCAAGUGAUCCUCGUGCCUCAGCCUCCUGAGUAGCUGAGAUGACAAGCGUGUUACCAAGGCAAGCUAAUUUUUAUUUUUUGUUUGUUUGUUUUUGAGACAGAAUUUUGCUCUGUUGCCCAGGCUGGAGUGCAAUGGCAUGAUCUCGGCUAACUGCAACUCCACCUCCCAUGUUCAAGUGAUUCUCCAGCCUCAACCUCCCAAGCAGCUGGGAUUACAGGCCCCUGCUACCACGCCUGGCUAAUUUUUGUGUUUUUAGUAGAGAUGGGCUUUCACCGUGUUGGCCAGCCUGGUCUCAAACUCCUGACCUCAGGUGAUCCACCCGCCUCAGCCUCCCAAAGUGCUGGGAUUCCAGGUGUGAGCCACCGCCCCGGCUGCAGUGGAUCUUCCUAUACUCCGGUGGUCACUACGUUCGGGGUACAUUAAGGUGCUGAAUAAAUGUUUGUUGAAUCCACAAAAGAAUGAAUAAAUAAAUGAAUGGAGUGGAGAUGAAUAUAAAAUCAUUCUGGACAAAGGGAAGUUGGGGUCAAGAUUUAUAGAGGAUCUUGAUUGAGAGGCUUUGAAGUUUAAACUUAAUUCGAUAAUCAAUGCACUUUUUGAACAAGGGAGUGAGUUUGUGUUUUUGAGAGAGAAUUCCGCUAGGAGUGUGAAGGGCGUCCUGAAGGAAGCAAGCCUCUCAGGCAGAUAAACCAAUGAGUUAUAGGGACUUUGCCUCUCCAGACUGAAAGGACAUAUUUUAGAACUAUUGAAGGCUGGAUGAUAACUUUUGCAGACCUGACUUCUUGGCCUGAAGUUUUCCCAGGUUGGGAAUGAUGCAAUGUGUUAGCUAAAGGCCACUGGAUUAUUGCCAGGGCUCAAUUAGAAAAUUGUGCCUAUAGGGUAACCUACAUUUUCUGUACUUUUCCAGGCUGGAAACUUUGCCGGAUGGCCCAUGUCAGGAGAAUCAGUCAUGCCUUGCAAGUCUGUCUUUAACUCUUUACCACCAAAUGCCAAAGUGGUCUCUUCCUUUUUUAGGCCUUUAUUCUAUAUACUUUUUUUUUUUUUUUUUUUUGAGCCAGAGUCUGGCUCUGUCGCCCAGGCUGGAAUGCAGAGGCGUGAUCUCGGCUCACUGGAAUCUCCACCUCCUGGUUGCAAGGGAUUCUCCUGUUUCAGCCUCCCACGUAGCUGGGAUUACAGGUGCAUACCACCACGCCUGACUAAUAUUAGUAUUUUUAGUAGAGACGGGGUUUCACCAUGUUGACCAGGCUGGUCUUGAACUCCUGACCUCAAGUGAUCCACCUGCCUCGGCCUCCCAAAUUGCUGGAAUUACAGGUGUGAGCCAUUGCACCUGGGCAAUUCUGCAUUAAACACAACUCUCCAGCAUGGGCUCUGAUAGGUCCCUGUAACCUGACUGAAGUGAAUCACAAAUGCCAGGAUGUAUAAGGCCACCAGAAAGUAAGAAGUAAGUGCCACUGGGUCUCUUGGCACAGCCUAGGUAAUUAGCUGGCCCUGACUCUCAGCAGUGUUUAAAGGGGAUUAUUCAGCAUUAUCCCUGGUUUCUUUUGCUAUAGUAGCAAAGGAGGCUGAAAUUUUGGUUAAGAUUGUCACUAGCCUUCCACUGUCUUUCCUGGAGUGACACUCCCCCAAACUAUACCCCCAAUCCUCCUUUUUUUUCAGACAGAGUCUCACUAUGUUGCCCAGGCUGGAGUGCAGUGGUGCAUUCAUGACUCACUGCAGCCUCAAACUCCUGAGCCCAUGUGAUCCUCCCACUCGAGGAUCCCCGAACAGCUGGGACCACAGGCGUGUACCACUACACCCAGCUAAUUUUUAUUUUUAUUUUUUUGUAGAGACAAGGUCUCACUAUGUUCUCCAGGCUGUUCUGGAACUCCUGGGCUCAAGCGAUCCUCCUGCCUCCCCCUCAAAAUGCUAGGAUGACAGGCGUGAGCCACGGUGCCUGGCUCCAGUCUGCUUAUGCCACAAGUUCCCAUGCUUCUUUUGUUAUGGUGGAAAAGAGCCUGGGCUCUGGAAGACAAAAUUUCAGUGACUGUUAAUAUUGUGCUAAGAGCAAAGGAGAAGAUAUGGCCCGAGGAACCAGGUUAAUCCUGCAGGGGAGAUGUGCCCUGCCGUGAAGCCUCUGUCCACCCACUGCUGCUUAUACAGUGUGAUCAGGCAGCUGAUACUGUGUCCUGAGGUCAGCCCAGGGCAGCUGAGUGGAACGCAGCUUCAGUUGCAGGCUCCUAAUGGGGGCUUGGCUGAGCAAGCCACAGUGUCUUGCUAUGGACUUGGGAAUCCUGCAUCUCAGUAUUGUGCCUUCCCAAGGGCACCUGGUAAGUGAAGCCUUUACGAGGCACCCAUGGAGGCUUCCAUUCACCAAGUGAGAGGUGACGACCGGUGUGGAGCUCACUAAUAAAAAUGCUCUGGGCUGGGCGCAGUGGCUCAUACCUGAAAUCCCAGCACUUUGAGAGGCCAAGGCGGGUGGAUCACCUGAGUUCAGGAGUUUGAGACCAGCCUGGCCAACAUGGAGAAACCCCAUCUCUACUAAAAAUACAAAAAUUAGCCAGACAUGGUGUCAGGCGCCUGUAAUCCCAGCUGCUUGGGAGGCUAAUGCAGGAGAAUUGCCUCAACCCAGGAAGUGGAGGUUGCACUGAGCAGAGAUUGCACUAUUGCAUUCCAGCCUGGGUGACAGAGCAAGACUCUGUCUCAAAAAAAAAAAAGACGGCAGGCAUGGUGGCUCACGUCUGUAAUCCCAGCACUUUGGGAGGCCAAGGCAGGUGGAUCAUGAGGUCAAGAAUUCAAGACCAGCCUGGCCAACAUGGAGAAACCUGUCUCUACUAAAAAUAGAAAAAUUAUCUGGGUGUGGCGACAGGGCCUGUAAUCACAGCUACUUGGGAGACUAAGACAGGAGAAUCACUGGAACCCAGAAGGCGGAGGCUGCUGUGAACUGAGAUUGUGACACUGCACUCCAGGCUGGGCAACAGAGCAAGACUCCAUUUUAAGAAAAAUGCUCUGGAAGCAAGGGGCAUUGCCGCGGUGUUUCAGAGUGCCCACUCUCGUAAUUCGACUUUAAAGGGAGCCUGUCUGAGAAAAACAGGUGUGCUGCUAAGCCAAGGGCAGCAGCCUGCUCUUCCCUGCUGCAGUGCUGCAGUCCCGCCAACCUGCCUUCACUGCUUGUUACCUUGCACGGCAUUGACUCCACCCUGUUCAGCUUGUGGAUGACACUAUUAGCCUAGAGAACAGCACCACUUGAACACAGCAUGCAACACAAACACUUUUUUUUUUUUUUUCUGGAGACAUGGCCGCUCUCUGGCAUCCAGGCUGGAGUGCAGUGCUGUGAUCUUUCUCUUUCUUCCUUCUUCCCUUCCUUCCUUCCUUCCUUCCUUCCUUCCUUCCUUCCUUCCUU